AUGCCGCCGGGUCUGAGGGAGAAGCGGCGGCGGCGGAGCCCGGGCUGCGUCGGGGGCAGCGGGGAGGCGGCGGCGCCGGGCGCGGGAUGGAGCCGGCGCGGGGCGGCGGCGUGCAGUGACCGAGGAGCGGGGGGCAGCCUGCGGCGGCGGCAGGAUGGAGCCCGGCGCGCCCUCGGCGGAAGCGGCGGAGGGCUGCCUGGAGCGCCUCAGGAAUUCCCUGCCGGGGCCCGCCGACCUGGCCGGGGCGGCCAGCACGCUGGAGAGGAUCCUGAGGGAGUCGGUGUGCCAGCUGCAGGGCUGGCUGCGCGUCUACGCUUCCUGUUUUGCCGCAAGAAAUCUCAUGCUACUGGCAGUUCUACUGUGGCCUCGGUGAUAUUCUUGUUUUCAGAAGUUGAGUCAGGUUUCUUGGUGGUUCGUUUCUGCCUUUGGUCAGUUCUUCAGCCUCUCUGUGGGAAUUACCAAUGCAUACAUACCCAAGGACUGAUGCACAGUUUGAAACGCUCCCAAGCACAUUGGCAGCCUCCAGGUCCAAGGCAUUGCACUGCAUUUUCAGGUUAGCUAGGAUUCCUGUGGCCUGCGUCACUCUGGCAGGAGUGUGAAAGCUGCCUCGAAAGGAGAGGCUGGAAACUGCUGCACACUAACUAGAGUUAACAAUCCGUACAAGAACCCUGGAGCUUGCUGAAAAAGAAACCUCUGUAAUCUUUUCUGAAGUUUUCCUUUUAGACUUGGUAGCAAGGUUUUGUGCAUGAAUUAGAUGGGGCCGCAGCCAUUGCAAUGUGUUCAUUUCUGUUUCAACCGCAUUUCUUAUUGCCAAAAUGGAAAAUGUUAAUGAAGACCCCAGUUUUCAUCUGUUGUUAAAUCUGAGCCUAUAUCAAUCCGUAAUAUUGAUCUGGACUACAUCUGUAACUGUAUCUGCAACCAAGAGUAUAAUUCAGUACUGUAAUGUCAACUUUUUGUUAUAUAUAUUUACAAUAGUAUUUAGAUUUUAACAGAAAAUAGGUCAAUAAUAUAGAAAAGAAACUGAACAAUAUAACCUAAUAUCUAAUGAAUAUAUUCAUGUAAAAGGGGAAAAAAUAUGAUUUCCCCCUCAAUCUAUCUUAAAAUCUACCAGUCAGUUUUGUAUAUUCUGUUAACAUUUCACAAAUGGAAAAUAGGGACGCUCUGUACCAGACUGAGUUGGACAAGGGAUGGAGUCUUUUAGCUCAGUAGCCUGACAUAGCAGACAGUGGAGAAGCCAAAACAAUCCACACUCAGAUGUGCCACAAGCAGGAAGUGGGAACGAGAACUGCCGUACAUCCAAAAAGUGCUCCAGUUGACACAAGCACUGAGACAACUACAGUCCAUACAACAAAUCAGAACAUAAAAAAUGCAUUGCCUUUAUUUCAUUUAGGACAGCCUUUCUCAACCUGUGGAUCCCCAAAUGUUGUUGAACUACAACUCCCAUCACCCCUAGCUAGCAAGGUCAGAGCUCAGGGAUGAUGGGAGUUAUAGCCCAACAACAUCUGGGGACCCACAGAUUGAGAACCGCUGAUUUAGGGGAUAUUGAUCCCUUUUAACAGCAGAUGAACACAGGGACAGAGGAAUAACAGACAUAGAAAGAUCUGUUGUAAUAUACAAUUACUGAUUCACACUUGUAUACAUGAAAUGAUUAACCUGAGCCCAGAGCUCAGGUUGUAAGUGGGUGUGGCUUAGCAGGCUCUUAGUAGCUUCUGCUCUCCCUCUGUCAGUCUUUUUACUUAGUGCUUCCUGGGACAAGCAAGGAGCCAUGCAGUCAGUGGCUCCCAGCUGCAAGGAAAACCAAAUGACCAGAAUCUUUCCAAAAAGGGAGAUUUAACGCCUGCAUCUUUGCAUGAUCCUUUUUGUAAGGAAACCAAGGAAACCUUUUCCCAUCCUUAUUUUACUAUCAGUGAAUGGAGACUUGUUUGAUGCAACUUCUGGAAACUCUGAGUAAAACAUUCAAUUAUUUCAAAGCUAAGUGUCUGUGAUUUAUUCUAGCCUAAGUAUUUUUGUGGGAAACAUUUGUUUAAAGGUAAAUGAGGGCAAAUGAAGAUCUUAUCAAGUUUUAAUGUGCUUGGCACAACUGCCAUUGUGCUUAACUCUUCUACUGGACAGUAGGAGCUCUCUUCCAGACUUCUCUUCCCAACAAGAUCAAGCACUGGAACUAUUGCAUGGAAUUCUUUAAAAUAUGAGGCUGCCUCUAGGCUGCUGUUGCCUCUGUCACUCUACACAUUUAGAAUUAAGUAGCAGGGCUCACAAGGAUGUAUUUCCGGGGGUUGGACUAGAUGACCCUCAGGGUCCCUUCUAACUCUGCCAUUUUAUGGUCUACCUCUCCCCUGUGUUAACAUCCCAACCACACAGCAAACCACAACCAGAGUUCACAAGUGUUCUUUCCCCUUCAAACAAAAAUUUUAUUUUUACUCCACACUUUCUUUUACCCCAUUCCUUCUGACAGUCGAGCUGUCUUUGCCUAUUCACUUUUACCACACGCACCCUCCUGAUUUCUGUCCUGACUUCAAUAGGUUUUGCUCCAGGAGCAUCUUCAGUACUGAUUCCAUGGAACAAAAAGUACUUUUGAGCAUGUGCAGAGUGCUGUUACCUCACAGUUGCAGUCUUCAGGUACUUAACACUCAGGAGCAGAUGUUUCAGAAUGAAGAGUUAGCCCAUGGUCCUCUUCCCUUCACACACAAAAAUAUACACCCCGCUUUUCUAUCUCUGCCCUCCUCCCUUGCUGCAGUUAAAUAAAUACAUUUCUUUCCCUUUCAUUAUAAUAACUUACCAGAAAAGUGGAAGAAUGCCCUUCUAAGUUUUUUAACUGCCAAUAUUGAUGCAAUUUAUUAAUAAGAGAGAGAUUGGAGGGCUGAACCAAAAAUUUCCCUAGCACAAAUUCCUUCUGCCCUCCACCCCCUUCAGGCUACAGUUAUAACUCUAGUUCUUUCUUUUAUUUCUGUGUUUUGAAGCAAGUAGAUCCUACUUUGCAGACACUGAAGCCAUGUUGUUUAUUGGUCUCUUUUUGGUAACACAUAGGAAGCUGACAUAGCAGGUCAGAAUAUUUGUUGAUCUGACUGAGCAUUGGUCUACUGUGAUUAAGGCAAGACAGAGAACUGCCAAGUUCAGUUCUUUGCAAUGCUUAUUAUACCAGUGUUUCCCAACCGGUGUUCCGCGGCACACUAGUGUGCCGCGAGACGUUGCCUGGUGUGCCGUGGGAGGGAGGCGGGCGGCGAGAGGCGGGGCGGCGGCGGCGAGGAGAGGCCGCCCAGCGCGGGGCUCUCGCCGUCUGCCUGCCUGGCUGCCUGCGUGGCGCUGACGUCACGGGGCUGUAACGUGCCCCACAUAGGCACACGCGGGGCGGCGAGCGAGCUCCCUCCCACAUCCCAUCGCCGCUCGCUUCGGCCGGCCUACUGGGCUGUCGCAGGCGGAAGGCCUGCGCAUGCGCGAGGUAUUCGCGCCUUCGGGAUUCCUUCACGCCUUCCUCCUCCUGGGUCCUUGAGAGCGCGGGAAGCGGCAGCGCGAGACCGGCGUUGAGCCUGGUAGGUAUUGCGCUUGCCAAGGCAGUCAUUUGGGAAAUGAAAACUUGCAAAGCAAGCAACCAGUUCAAUCUGAAGUACGUGUAUGCUUAAUAUCCUGUAUCUGAAACCUGUUCUGCCCCCUCCCCCACACUUGGUGCCAUUUUCAUCUACACAUGCAGCAGAGUAAGUUAACCCAGAAUAGUACCAAUUCAGAUGGCAGAUGGGAGAAUGACAGUGCUGAAUGCUUUCCCAUGUAGAACAGUCCCUGCAAAUAAAAACCUAGCAUAUUUGGAAGAGGGAUGCUAGCCUAACCAUUACCUUCUAUGCUGUUACUAUUUUUUUAUUUUUUUUUACUUAUGUAAAAAGUGACCUUUCCCCAUCUGGCAUGGUGGUGUGCCUCGAGAUUUUUUUCAUGAAACAAGUGUGCCUUUGCCCAAAAAAGGUUGGGAAACACUGUAUUAUACUAUGCCUGGUAGAAGACAACGAGAAUGGUGUGGUUGCCUGUUGAGUCUAGGGAGUCUGUGGUGCAAAUUUGUGCAGUUUUAAGUCAGAAGCAGACUUUUGGGGAUGACUAACUUCCCCAGUUUGGUCCCCGAUCAAAGUUGGGCUUUUGUUGUAACAGCAUCUGGAACCUUUCCUGCUUCUAAGUCUCACUGGUGCUCCCAGUGGAUUUGUCCUCUAUAACAUAAUUUUCCGUUAUGACUUCAUUUUCCAUUAACACAACAACAUGGAACAUCUAGCAAUAAAAUGUCUGGGAUGGCAAUGACGCAUGAUGUCACAGGCAAGGCCAGAGGCUAUUGUUCCACACGGUUCUUUCAACAUUACGGUUUUGAACUCGGCAGCACAUUCAUUUGGAAUGAUGGAUAAACUUGCCAGGGCAACCCUAAAAAAUGCUGUGUCCCCUUCCCACUGCGUUGCCAUGUAAGGUCCACAGUGUUCUUUUCUGCCUUGUCUCUGCUACCAGCACCAAAAUACUUCAAUUCCUUCUGACUAUUGAUGUGCAUUUUCAAGUGUUGUUCUAUGAUGUAUUUAAAGCCUAACUUAAAUACCACUUCUGACAAAAUUCUAUUUUGCUGCUCUUUCUGGUGAUUAGAGUGUUCUUGCUAUGCAAUUUUUUUACGUUGUCAGAAGUAGCCCCUCUGUAGAAGGAAAAUCAAUUUUAUAGUGAGUGAGACCAGGGUUUUGUGCUAUAUUUUUGCAUUGCUGUCUGCCUCUCUGUCCCUCUGUCUCUCUGUCUGAUACAAAACAAAGAGCCUCAAUUGCAAAGGCUGCACUUGUGUGCAAAUCUAGUUGUUAAAGUCAUACCAUGUGGCUCCCCUUUGAGAAUCCUCAUACCGCCAUAUACUGGAUGGGGCUGUUGCUUCAGUCGCCAGUGUGGAGAUCCAGUGUGGUGUAGUGGUUAAGAGCGGUAGACUCGUAAUCUGGGGAACCGGCUUCGCGUCUCUGCUCCUCCACCUGCAGCUGCUGGGUGACCUUGGGCUAGUCACGCUUCUUUGAAGUCUCUCAGCCCCACUCACCUCACAGAGUGUUUGUUGUGGAGGAGGAAGGGAAAGGAGAAUGUUAGGGUAGUGAUAAAGCGGUAUAUCAAAUCCAAACUCUUCUUCUUCCAGCAUCUUUCUCAACACUGGCUUCCUACUCUGGCCUUGUCCUUGAUGCUGCUUCCUUCCGCUAUUUUCCUUAUGAGCUUCCACAACAUGACUCCCAAGUC
ensembl:lncRNA